rnacentral:rRNA from 1 species
GGAAGAAAGCUUGCUUUCUUUGCUGGCGACCGGCGCACGGGUGAGUAACACGUAUCCAACCUGCCCUUUACUCGGGGAUAGCCUUUCGAAAGAAAGAUUAAUACCCGAUGGCAUAAUGAUUCCGCAUGGUUUCAUUAUUAAAGGAUUCCGGUAAAGGAUGGGGAUGCGUUCCAUUAGGUUGUUGGUGAGGUAACGGCCCACCAAGCCUUCGAUGGAUAGGGGUUCUGAGAGGAAGGUCCCCCACAUUGGAACUGAGACACGGUCCAAACUCCUACGGGAGGCAGCAGUGAGGAAUAUUGGUCAAUGGGCGUUAGCCUGAACCAGCCAAGUAGCGUGAAGGAUGAAGGCUCUAUGGGUCGUAAACUUCUUUUAUAUAAGAAUAAAGUGCAGUAUGUAUACUGUUUUGUAUGUAUUAUAUGAAUAAGGAUCGGCUAACUCCGUGCCAGCAGCCGCGGUAAUACGGAGGAUCCGAGCGUUAUCCGGAUUUAUUGGGUUUAAAGGGAGCGUAGGUGGACUGGUAAGUCAGUUGUGAAAGUUUGCGGCUCAACCGUAAAAUUGCAGUUGAUACUGUCAGUCUUGAGUACAGUAGAGGUGGGCGGAAUUCGUGGUGUAGCGGUGAAAUGCUUAGAUAUCACGAAGAACUCCGAUUGCGAAGGCA